rnacentral:rRNA from 1 species
GACGAACGCUGGCGGCGUGCCUAAUACAUGCAAGUAGGACGCAGUUGCGAACGGGUGAGUAACGCGUAGGUAACUGCCUAUUAGAGGGGGAUAACUAUUGGAAACGAUAGCUAAUACCGCAUACUAGUAGAUGGACCUGCGUUGUAUUAGCUAGUAGGUAGGGUAAUGGCCUACCUAGGCGGAGAUACAUAGGCGACCUGGGAGGGGGAUCGGGCCACUGUGGACUGAGGCAAGGCCCAGACUGCCACGGGAGGGAGGAGUUGGGAAUCUUCGGCAAUUGGGGGAACCCUGGCCGAGCAACGCCGCGUGAGUGAAGAAGGUUGUCGGGUCGUAAAGCUCUGUUGUUAAGGAAACGGUACUUAACGAGAAAGGGACGGCUAACUACGUGCCAGCAGCCGCGGUAAUUC